rnacentral:lncRNA from 10 species
ACCACAACCUCCACCUCCAGGGUUCAAAUGAUUCUCCUGCCUCAGCCUCCCCAGUAGCUAGGAUUACAGGCACACGCCACCACACCCAGCUAAUUUUUAUAUCUUUAGUAGAGACGGGAUUUCAGCAUGUUGGUCAGGCUGGUCUUGAACUCCUGACCUUGUGAUCCGCCCACCUCGGCCUCCCAAAGUUCUGAGAUUACAGGUGUGAGCUACCGUGCCCGGCCUAAUUUUCGUAUUUUUAGUAGAGAUGGGGUUUCACCAUGUUGGCCAGGCUGGUCUCAAUCUCUUGACCUCGUGAUCCGCCCACCUCAGCCUCCCAAAGUGCUGGGAUUACAGGCGUGCGCCACCGUGCCCGGCUGAAAGGAAGCCACUUCUAAGAAGCUCCUGAAAAUUUCUCAGCUAAACAUUUCUCAGCUCCUGUCUGCAUGUCAGCGAGGUAAUGGGUGGUAAAUGCUGGUGGGAAGGCUGGAGAGCAGGGAACAGCUUAACAUACAAACCAUCCAGAGACUAAGUCCGGAGUGCUUGGGAAAGACCACGGCGUGCAGCGGGUGGGGACUGAGUGGAUAGACGUCUCCGUUUGCCAGGUGUGGACUCCCCAGGACCGGGUGCAGCAGAACGUCCAGACAUGGGUUUUGGGUGGCCCCCAUCUUCCUGGCUUGAUUUUCCCUACAAUGGGCAGUGGUUUAGGUGCUGGCAAGGCUGAAGUUCUCAGAAGGGUGCCACAAAAGGA